AGUGAACGCUGGCGGUAGGCCUAACACAUGCAAGUCGAACGGCAGCACAGUAAGAGCUUGCUCUUACGGGUGGCGAGUGGCGGACGGGUGAGGAAUACAUCGGAAUCUACUUUUUCGUGGGGGAUAACGUAGGGAAACUUACGCUAAUACCGCAUACGACCUACGGGUGAAAGCAGGGGAUCUUCGGACCUUGCGCGAUUGAAUGAGCCGAUGUCGGAUUAGCUAGUUGGCGGGGUAAAGGCCCACCAAGGCGACGAUCCGUAGCUGGUCUGAGGGGAUGAUCAGCCACACUGGGACUGAGACACGGUCCAGACUCCUACAGACGGCAGCGGUGGGGAAUAUUGGACGAUGGGCGCAAGCCUGAUCCAGCCAUACCGCGUGGGUGAAGAAGGCCUUCGGGUUGUAAAACCGUUUUGUUGGGAAAGAAAAGCAGCAGGUUAAUACCCCGCUGUUCUGACGGUACCCAAAGAAUAAGCACCGGCUAACUUCGUG
rnacentral:rRNA from 1 species